UGGGGAAUUUUGGACAAUGGGCGCAGGCCUGAUCCAGCCAUGCCGCGUGUCUGAAGAAGGCCUUCGGGUUGUAAAGGACUUUUGUCAGGGAAGAAAAGGCUGUUGCUAAUAUCGACAGCUGAUGACGGUACCUGAAGAAUAAGCACCGGCUAACUACGUGCCAGCAGCCGCGGUAAUACGUAGGGUGCGAGCGUUAAUCGGAAUUACUGGGCGUAAAGCGAGCGCAGACGGUUACUUAAGCAGGAUGUGGAAUCCCCGGGCUCAACCUGGGAACUGCGUUCUGAACUGGGUGACUAGAGUGUGUCAGAGGGAGGUAGAAUUCCACGUGUAGCAGUGAAAUGCGUAGAGAUGUGGAGGAAUACCGAUGGCGAAGGCAGCCUCCUGGGAUAACACUGACGUUCAUGCUCGAAAGCGUGGGUAGCAAACAGGAUUAGAUACCCUGGUAGUCCACGCCCUAAACGAUGUCAAUUAGCUGUUGGGCAACUUGAUUGCUUAGUAGCGUAGCUAACGCGUGAAAUUGACCGCCUGGGGAGUACGGUCGCAAGAUUA
rnacentral:rRNA from 1 species